UUUGGAUGUCUGUGGAGAUAAGAGGAAUGGUCUUUGGGCGGCGGAUGUGCUGUCUGACAUCAUUCAAAUGACAUCAGCACCCAAACAGUGAGGAUCACAGCGGGAAUCAGGUUGAUGGCAGGACAGAGAUCCCUGAAGAACCUCCCUUUGAGAGGCAAAGGUGACCUCUUUUCAGCAGCAUAUUAGUGGGUGUUGUGUGGACAGCUGCUGUGACUGCAAGGCAA